UAUAUUAUUAAGUCGGACUGUGCAGUAGACAUUCAGAAAUGAACACACAUACGCAUCUCAAUACGCAUCAAUCUCACAUAUAUUUGUACCCUAUUUAUAUACGCGAAUGUUUCAAUAAUUAAACUCAGAUCAGUUUUGACAGAAUCUUUUUUUUUUCUUUUGUUACCAUUUAUUUACAGCUGCUUGUCAGAAAUGGUAUAGUGCCUGCAGGAUUACCAAAUUGAUUUUUGGCGAAUAAAAAAUAAAAUAAGAUUCGUUUCCCUGUAAAAGAAUCAGUAAGAAUCAAAUUAACCCGUUAAAUUAAGGUAGAUCCGAUUGUCGAUCGGAUAACUGGUAUUUUACAACUUCUCCUAUGUAAAUAAAUCAUCGCGCGGCCUGGCCGUGCGCCAACAAACCGUCACGUCGAACUAGUGACUAAUCGAUCUGAAAAUAGAAACAUAUAUAUCGAUGGUGCACAUGUAUGGUACGUUCAUUUUUGCGAUGAAUAAUUAUAGACUGAUAUCAUUUGACAUGCUUAAA